rnacentral:rRNA from 1 species
AUUGAACGCUGGCGGAAUGCUUUACACAUGCAAGUCGAACGGCAGCACGGACUUCGGUCUGGUGGCGAGUGGCGAACGGGUGAGUAAUACAUCGGAACGUGCCCAAUCGUGGGGGAUAACGUAGCGAAAGCUACGCUAAUACCGCAUACGAUCUAAGGAUGAAAGCGGGGGAUCGCAAGACCUCGCGCGAUUGGAGCGGCCGGUGGCAGAUUAGGGAGUUGGUAGGGUAAAGGCCUACCAAGCCGACGAUCUGUAGCUGGUCUGAGAGGAUGAUCAGCCACACUGGGACUGAGACACGGCCCAGACUCCUACGGGAGGCAGCAGUGGGGAAUUUUGGACAAUGGACGCAAGUCUGAUCCAGCCAUUCCGCGUGCAGGAUGAAGGCCCUCGGGUUGUAAACUGCUUUUGUACAGAACGAAAAGGUUUCUACUAAUACUAGGAGCUCAUGACGGUACUGUAAGAAUAAGCACCGGCUAACUACGUGCCAGCCGCCGCCGUAA